GUCAGAUGCAAGCGUCCAGUAGACUAGGGAUAUCGAGGUCAACACGCUGGCGGUUGGGGAAAGAUAUAGGCGAGUGUGCGGUCAAGGUCAAAAUUGCGAGAGGGUGAUUCGAAGAGAAAUACCGCAACAAAAACGUUCGAUUUGGACAUUAACGCGUCUAACUGAAUGAGUCACAAUGUUUCUACCACAAGAGUUGUAAAUAUUGAACAGAAAGGGCUUCAUCUUCAAGAUGAAAACUGCAAAAAAUGGCCACCAACAAUAAUGGGCCAGGACUGAGGAGUUCCAAGAAAUGAGUAUUCUUCAGCCCACAAAUAUCAGUGCUGCCCCGCUGCCCAAAACCAGAGUGUGGCAACAAGUAAAUGGACCUUGACAAAUGUCCUCCAUGUUAGAGCCAGUCCCUUACACAAGUGACCUACUUUUGCACAGCUGAGGUUGUUAUCAAACGCAGCAGUAGGUAUGAAAUGCGGAAACUGUUCCAACUUGAUCUUCAACAGUUGAGUUACUCCUCAUCACAAUACCUGAACUGAAAACAAUCGGUGAAGAUCCUGCACUUCACUUCUACCUCACAGUGCUCUUCCCUAUAAACGCUAGAGGAAAGUUUGAAAAUGAAAAACUUGUCAUUGCAAGAAAGGACCAAUUGAUUCUUAAUGAAACAACCUGCCUCAAUGCUUUAGCUGACACUACAUCAAGUCAACACAAGGCAAUUUGUUUUUCUCGCAACCUGACCGGUAUGUUGAAUCUGAUCAAAAUUGUACACAACCACUGGUCAAGAAUAUAGAAAUACAAGUUGUAUGAUCAGUAACCUAAAAUAUUCUUGAAUAUUUGAACAUAAUAAAAGAGUAUUUGUUAAAGUUAUACAUAUUGUGUAGUGUAGGUAAGAUCAAUGUCAAGGUUAUUUUGGCUAAAAAAAAGGAAAAUGAGUCUUGAUUCAUAACAUCGAUGAAAUAGCAAGCCUUAAGUAUUUUCGAUAAAGUGAUACAUAUAUUUUGUGGUGAUGUCAUAACCUUGUUUCACUGUUUUUGAAGAGAAAACACAUGUUAUAAAUAUA